GCACUUUAAUGUUUUUAUUCAAUCAUUAAUUAAAAUUUGUAAGUUACUUACAAGUCCAUCUUCAGGCAAUAUGAAUAUACUAGACCUCCGAAAUAUGUAUUUAUUGUAACUCGCUUAAUCUUUAUUAUUAGUUGCACCUUGAUCUGUCAUGAUAAUUAGUGUAAUACUUUUUUAAAUAUUUUUUAAAAAUAUUUUAGACGACGGCAUACAAACUGUUUAAUAAAGUAAAUAUUUCUUGGUGGCUAUCAAUUACUUAGUAAGUUCCCCUGUAGUUUAUUAAAGCCGCCAUAAUUUUUGAGUUUGACCCUUAAUUGGCUUACUACUCAUCUAACUUGAAUAAUAGAUGGGAAUAGUAGGGUAUCUAAUCCUAGUUUUGUAUCUAUUCCAUUUUUGCUGUAGUAAUAAUGAUGAUUAAAUUGCAAAUUAUAUUUUACUAUAAAACUACACUAUAUAUAUUACUUAUUUUAAUUAGAUAAUACAAUUACUUAUAGAUAAUGGUUUGACCGCGGUUGCUGGCACCAUAUUUACCCCCAAAAUUACCUGCACUAAACUUAUAUUUUUAUAGUAUAUUAAUAUUUCCAACUGGAUUGAUCACAAUUAUUUCCAUGAUUGUUUUAGGUUAAAGUAAUUUCUUCUAUCAAAUUAAAGUAGGAUAUUAUAUCUAAAAAGGAUUUUUUUCCUUUUUCGG
rnacentral:rRNA from 1 species